rnacentral:rRNA from 1 species
UGUUUCGGCUAGGGGGCCAUCCCGGCUUACCAACCCGAUGCAAACUGCGAAUACCGGAGAAUGUUAUCACGGGAGACACACGGCGGGUGCUAACGUCCGUCGUGAAGAGGGAAACAACCCAGACCGCCAGCUAAGGUCCCAAAGUCAUGGUUAAGUGGGAAACGAUGUGGGAAGGCCCAGACAGCCAGGAUGUUGGCUUAGAAGCAGCCAUCAUUUAAAGAAAGCGUAAUAGCUCACUGGUCGAGUCGGCCUGCGCGGAAGAUGUAACGGGGCUAAACCAUGCACCGAAGCUGCGGCAGCGACGCUGAUGCGUUGUUGGGUAGGGGAGCGUUCUGUAAGCCUGCGAAGGUGACCUGU